AUGAACACAUUUGAAUGUGCUUGCCCUUUGUCUUUGAUGGCAAAGAGGACAUGUGUAACCAAGGCCACUGACUUUGAUCCAAAACAUGAAGAACAGAAAAGAAGUUGGUUAUUCCCUCUGGAACCACCUUUUCAUAUAGCUAGCAGUGUGGAAUAUCCCAAUUCUAUUAAGAGUGGCAACGAUUCUUUCUGGUUCAGAAAAUGCCUCCUAAAGUGAGUCCUGUGGCUACAAAGUGUAGCCAAGAGGUAUGGAAGAAAACCUAAGGUCUGGAUGAUGAUAAGGACAUGGGAGCAGAGACUUUGGGCUCAGUGGGUUUCAACUGUGACUCAAAAUCCUUA
rnacentral:lncRNA from 1 species